rnacentral:tRNA from 1 species
GGUCAGGUAGCUCAGUUGGCAGAGCACCGCUCUGAAAAAGCGGGGGUCGGCGGUUCAAGUCCGCCCCUGACCA